rnacentral:RNase_P_RNA from 1 species
GAGGAAAGUCCGGGCUUCAUGGAUAUACGGUGCCGGAUAACGUCCGGCGAGGGUGACCUUAGGGAAAGUGCCACAGAAAGCAAACCUCCACACAAGCUUCGGCGUAACGUGUGGUAAGGGUGAAAGGGUGCGGUAAGAGCGCACCGCCCGCCUAGCAAUAGGAGGGGCACGGUAAACCCCACCGGGAGCAAGACCGAAUAGGGAUGGACGGCGGAUUAAACGGGCCGCAGAUGUAUAUUCACAUCACGCAUCCGGGUGUGUCGCGCGAGGCAUUUGGCAACAAAUGUCCCAGACGAAUGAUCAUCUAUCCUGCUUUUGCAGGGGGACAGAACCCGGCUUA